rnacentral:rRNA from 1 species
AGAGUUUGAUCCUGGCUCAGGAUGAACGCUGGCGGCGUGCCUAACACAUGCAAGUCGAGCGAAGCACUUUGCUUAGAUUCUUCGGAUGAAGAGGAUUGUGACUGAGCGGCGGACGGGUGAGUAACGCGUGGGUAACCUGCCUCAUACAGGGGGAUAACAGUUAGAAAUGACUGCUAAUACCGCAUAAGACCACAGCACCGCAUGGUGCGGGGGUAAAAACUCCGGUGGUAUGAGAUGGACCCGCGUCUGAUUAGCUAGUUGGUAAGGUAACGGCUUACCAAGGCGACGAUCAGUAGCCGACCUGAGAGGGUGACCGGCCACAUUGGGACUGAGACACGGCCCAAACUCCUACGGGAGGCAGCAGUGGGGAAUAUUGCACAAUGGGGGAAACCCUGAUGCAGCGACGCCGCGUGAGCGAAGAAGUAUUUCGAUAUGUAAAGCUCUAUCAGCAGGGAAGAAAAUGACGGUACCUGACUAAGAAGCACCGGCUAAAUACGUGCCAGCAGCCGCGGUAAUACGUAUGGUGCAAGCGUUAUCCGGAUUUACUGGGUGUAAAGGGAGCGUAGACGGAUGGGCAAGUCUGAUGUGAAAACCCGGGGCUCAACCCCGGGACUGCAUUGGAAACUGUUCAUCUAGAGUGCUGGAGAGGUAAGUGGAAUUCCUAGUGUAGCGGUGAAAUGCGUAGAUAUUAGGAGGAACACCAGUGGCGAAGGCGGCUUACUGGACAGUAACUGACGUUGAGGCUCGAAAGCGUGGGGAGCAAACAGGAUUAGAUACCCUGGUAGUCCACGCCGUAAACGAUGACUACUAAGGUGUCGGGUGGCAAAGCCAUUCGGUGCCGCAGCAAACGCAAUAAGUAGUCCACCUGGGGGAGUACGUUCGCAAGAAUGAAACUCAAAGGAAUUGACGGGGACCCGCACAACCGUGGAGCAAUGUGGUUUAUUUCAAACAACCCGAAAACCUUUCCUGGCCUUGAAUCCCCCUGACCGGAGAAAAAUGGGUUUUUCCUCUUGGGGAGCGGAGACAAGUGUGUGUUUGGUUGUCGUCACCUCCCGCCCGGAAAGAAUUGGUGUUAUUCUCCCCACCAACGCCACCCCCACUUUUUAUUACACGCGGGCAGGCCGGCGCCUUUAAAAGAAAGCCGGUAAACCCCGGCAGAGGGGGGGGGUGAGGGGAAAAACUAUCGCCUCUUUAGAAGGGGUGCACCCCUGCUCAAUGGUGUAACAAAAGGAAGGGAACCCGCGGGUGAGAAACCCAAAAAAACGUCUCAGUUCGGAUUGUAGUCUGCAACUCGACUACAUGAAGCUGGAAUCGCUAGUAAUCGCGAAUCAGAAUGUCGCGGUGAAUACGUUCCCGGGUCUUGUACACACCGCCCGUC